GUGCCAGCCGCCGCGGUAAUACGAAGGACCCAAGCGUUAUCCGGAUUUAUUGGGUUUAAAGGGUGCGUAGGCGGGUUAUUAAGUCAGUGGUGAAAGCUCCGAGCCCAACUCGGAAAUUGCCAUUGAUACUGAUGAUCUUGAGUACAUUUGAGGUGGGCGGAAUGUGUCAUGUAGCGGUGAAAUGCUUAGAGAUGACACAGAACACCGAUUGCGAAGGCAGCUCACUAAACUGUAACUGACGCUGAGGCACGAAAGCGUGGGGAGCAAACAGGAUUAGAUACCCCCGUAGUCC
rnacentral:rRNA from 1 species